rnacentral:misc_RNA from 1 species
AACACUGUUAACCUGCGGUACCUGCGGAGGGAUCAUUAACCUUUCAAAAAACAGGGUGCGUCGCGGCCCCCCUCCGGGGGCGGUUUGGGGUCCUCCCCUUCACGCGCGCACGACUGCAUCCUUACUUUACGAGCACCUUCUGUUCUCCCUCGGCGGGGCAACCUGCCGUUGGAACCGAAUAAACCCUUUUUUGCAUCCAGCAUUACCCGUUCCGAAACAAACAAUCGUUACAACUUUUAA